CGGAAUCACUGGGCGUAAAGGGAGUGUAGCCGGAGAUUCAAGUCAGGACGGUAAUCUACGGGCGUAACCCGUUAGUUGCCUUCUGAUACUGUUUCUCUUGAGUAGUGGAGGGGGAGCCGGAAUUCCAGGUGUAGCGUUGGAAUGCGUAGAUAUCUGGAAGAACACCAGUAGCGAAGGCGGUCUCCUGGCCACAUACUGACGCUGAGGCUCGAAAGCGUGGGGAGCAAACAGGAUUAGAUACCCUGGUAGUCCACGCCGUAAACGAUGGACACUGGAUAUCGGGUGAUUCAUUUCAUUCGGUGUCGUAGCUAACGUGGUAAGUGUCCCGCCUGGGGAGUACGCUCGCAAGGGUGAAACUCAAAGGAAUUGACGGGGGCCCGCACAAGCGGUGGAGCAUGCGCUUUAAUUCGAUGCAACGCGAAGAACCUUACCUGGGUUUGACAUGGGAGUGAAAUCUCGCAGAGAUGCGGGACCUUCCUUCGGGAACACUCCACACAGGUGCUGCAUGGUUGUCGUCAGCUCGUGUCGUGAGAUGUUGGGUUAAGUCCCGCAACGAGCGCAACCCUCGCCCUUAGUUGCCAUCAGGUAAUGCUGGGAACUCUAGGGGGACCGCCUGGUCCAACCAGGAGGAAGCUGGGGAUGACGUCAAAUCAUCAUGGCUCUUACGUCCAGGGCUAGACGCGUGCUACAAUGGUCGGUACAGAAGGAUGCCAAGUCGCGAGACUGAGCUAAUCCCCAAAACCGGCCUCAGUCCGGAUUGGAGUCUGCAAUUCGACUCCAUGAAGUUGGAAUCGCUAGUAAUCGCGGAUCAGCAUGCCGCGCUGCCAUGUUCCCGGGCCUUGACACACCGCCCGUCAAGCCACGAAAGAUGGGAGUACCCGAAGUCGUGUGCCUAA
rnacentral:rRNA from 1 species